ensembl:lncRNA
UCAGUUCAUGGUUAGGUGAAUCUGUGAAUGGAGAACCCGAGGAUACAGAGGGCUGGCUGUCUUUCAGUCUUAAUAAACAAUUUAUGUAAAAUCACGGCUAGUGAAAGAGUGGGGUUUUCAACGCAGCAAAAAUUUAUUUUUGUCAGUCCUGAGCUAGGGUCUGCAAAUACAAAGUUAAGUAGGAGAAGGUUCUAGUCCUCCAGGCACUAGUGGUCUUGGAAAGGGAGGCAAACAGUUAAACUGGCCAUUUCACCAAUAUAUGGGAGUUAAAAUACUGGAGGUAGACACAAGGUGUGCAGUGCAAGGGAGGAAGGGAACUAAUAGUUGCUGCCUACAUCUGUGUGUUAGGCAUUCCAUUAAGUUUAUUCCACUUAAUGAUUUCCUGAAUAUUAGAGGCAGGUAUCAAUAUCCUCACCUAACAGAUGAGGAAAAAGUCUGAGAGAGUUGAACUUACUUGCCCCAGGUUCUCUCUAGUGUAUAUCAGAACCAAGAAUCUAAGAUUUUCCUGUCAUACCCACAUCAACUAGCUUCAGGGAGCCAAAAGAUUCACAAGAGAAGGUGAGCUGAGUCUUGAAAGAAUUCUGGACCUCAACCAGGCACAGGGAGCCAGGGGUAAUGUUAGGGCAAAGAAUAUCUUGAGCAACAGUGAAUGAAAGUGCAUGGAGGCGGGUGCAGGGAGACAGGGAAGGAUAAACAAUUUGUUACUUGGAAACAAAUAGUAAGUAAGGAGAUAGGUUUGUAAGUGAUGAUAAAAAGCUUGACCUAUAUCCAGUAAUCUUUGAAGGCUCUUAAUUAAGUAGAUGACCUCAUGAGAUUUGCAUCUUACUCUGGUAGUUGGUUUUGCGGCUUCCCUUGUGGCUCAGUGUUAAAGAACAUGUCUGCCAAUGCAAGAUACCCAUGUUCCAUCCCUGAGUCAGGAAUAACCCUGGAGAAGAAGUGGCAAUCCACUCUGUAUUCUUGCCUGGGAAGUCCCAGUCCAUGGGGUCACAAAAGUGUCACACACAACUUAGUGAAUAAACAACUGGUAGAUGGUUUAGGGAAAGGCAGGAUGUAAGGACACUUCUUGCAAGGGCCUCAAUUCAGAGGAGCGGGAAUAUGGCUCACAGCUAAUGUAGUAGCAGUGGAGCUGGAGAGAAGUAGAUGAAUUCAAGAUACACUUUGGAAAUAUAAUUGGAAGAACUUUUGGGUUGAUAAAGAUGUAUUUAAGAGCUAGAGUCAGUAGAUAGUAGUCACUUGUUGACAAGGUGAUGAUGGGAGGAGUUGAAGGAAAUGGGAAACUUGGAUGAUACUUUAGGCUUCUGGCUCAGUUGGAAGUGUCAAGCAUAGUGUCAUUUAUAAAUAAGAAACAAAAGAGAACAGUUUGGGAUUGGGAAGAAGGGAGAUGAAAUGUUGUGAAUUACACAUCUUGCUUUUGAGGUAUCAAUCACUGUAGGAUGGAAAGUCUGAUUUAGUGAGACGGUGAUGGCUGUGGAUGCCAGUCAUUGAUUUGUUCCAGUGGACAAUGAGUCAAGUGAGAAGAGCAAAAGACAAAGGAUAGAGCAAUGAUACUACAUGGAUUAGGUAUGAUUAGCAUUUACACAGUUGUAAUGCAAAUCCUGUAUGCAGCUCAGACAAAGAUAGAAUUGUAUUGGGAGGACAAAAGAAUGGGUGGUGGGGAUUUUGAGUGAUUGGGACAAGGCAGAAGAAUGAUCACAGGCUAAUAGGAAGUCAGUAAUGGCUAUAACUGGGCAGGGGGAAAUCAAUAAACAGCAAUAUAAGCAUGUUAUUUAGAGAUAAACUAGUGGUGGAGAACAUGCCUGCCAAUGCAGGAGAUUUA